UAGAGUUUGAUCCUGGCUCAGGAUGAACGCUGGCGGCGUGCCUAACACAUGCAAGUCGAGCGGUAACAGGUCUAGUUUACUAGAUGCUGACGAGCGGCGAACGGCUGAGUAACGCGUGAGAAUCUGCCCUAAAGUGAGGAAUAACUAUUCGAAAGGAUAGCUAAUGCCGCAUGUGCUCUACGGAGUAAAGCUUUAUGCGCUUUAGGAAGAGCUUGCGUCGGAUUAGGUAGUUGGUAAGGUAAAGGCUUACCAAGCCUACGAUCCGUAGCUGGUCUGAGAGGAUGAUCAGCCAGACUGGAACUGAGACACGGUCCAGACUCCUACGGGAGGCAGCAGUGAGGAAUAUUCCACAAUGGGCGAAAGCCUGAUGGAGCAACGCCGCGUGCAGGAUGAAGGCCUUCGGGUUGUAAACUGCUUUUAUUAGCGAAGAAUAUGACAGUAGCUUUUGAAUAAGCACCGGCUAACUACGUGCCAGCAGCCGCGGUAAUA
rnacentral:rRNA from 1 species